AGCACGGGCUGCGGUCAGUGCCGGCGCGAGGGGGCUGAGGCCACCCCCAGGUGGCAAUCAGAGCCAGCUGAGCCCAAUUAACCUGCGGGGGAGGAGUACGGUGGGGCUGAAAGAGAGAGCUGGGAAGGGGUGUGCCUCACUUGGUGGCGUGGCUUGCUUGGAUGUAGCCGUCUCAGAGAAGCCCCUCUGAUGGGAUCCGCCUAAUUGCCUUUCUCAUUCAGACAACCCUGGAGUUAUUUGCUAAUGAACACCGUCGCAGCACAGCAUUCACACACAGCGCUGCCAGCAGGUGGAGAAGUGGGGAAAGGUGCUGAGCCCCUGCAGGGCCGGAGCCCUCCCAGCCAACGUGCACCGCUCCCACUGGAGGCUGCGGCCAACACCGCACGGCACCCGCAGGAAGGGCCUGAAAGGACAAAUGGAGGGAGAGGACAUCGGUGGCAGUGAUAAAAAGAAAGUUUAAAGCUCGCAUUUAGAUAAAUUGACUGGAAAAUUUGAUCCACACCGUCUUUCAAAUACGAUUAUACAAACAGAAUUUGCCUAAAUAUUGUAAUUAAAAUUCUGCCUAUAGCAUAAUAAAAGAGGGAAAAUAGUAUUAAAUGAUCAAGGCAUUUGAAUGUCUGAAAUAUCACCGUGUGAUGUUUCAUGCUAUCCACUAAAUAAGUAAUUUACUGCAAAACCUAUCAAAGCAAAAGGAAAUUAAGUCAGAUAAGGCUGCCUUUUAUUUUGCAGUUCAGUUUUGCAGAGGAUGCCAUCACUUUCAGAGCACGUUUGAUUUCUUUCAAGGAAAAAGCUCCAAGCAAUUCAGCACAGGCCCUGCAACAUGCAGGGUGCAGCAGCUCCAGCAGUGGGUGCUGGCCACCAACAGCUCCCAUCCGGGCAGGACAGGGCAGGGCUGGCUCCACCAUACACCAACAUCCCCACCUCCAGCCCACAGGCCAUGCAGUAUCGCUCCCAAUGGCAUUUGCACCACAGAACAUUUGCGGCAUCAAUAAAAUCCUGGCUCAUCAGCACAAAUAGAAUUUUAAAUGGAAUUCUUAUCAAAUCAGCCUCCCAUCAAGAUCGCACGAUGUCGCGCACACAACCUUUUCAGAAGCUGUGUACAUGACUGCUGCGGGAGGUGCAAGCAAGACAAGCUCCAAUGAGACCGCUCGACUGAUGCAGCGCAACAGGCGGCGGCGUGGGGCUCAGCACCGUUUGGGCGGUGGGUGCUCGGCAGGAUGUGAGCACACUGCCAGCAGUGCAGGAGCAAAGCACAGCCCAGGUGUGCGACACAGACAUGGCACGGCCCUGUGCGUCCCUCCCCACCUGCAGUGUGCAGAGCAAACUGCACGGCACAGCUGUCUGAAGGAGCGCAGCCCCAACAGCAGCACGGGUGCCUGUGUGACAACCCCGAGAAAUAUUUCUGCAAACACAAUAGAAGAGAUAAUGGUAAUUAGGCCAGCGUUUUGUGCCAUAAUGUUCUUGAAUGCCUACAAAAAUACAAUAUUUUCAGCAAAAGAUAAUUGAAAAGAUUAUUUGCCUUAUCUAAAAUAAGUUUUUUCCAGCCUCAGCACAUCUGUUUCCAGAAUCCUCACAGACGUUUGCUGCAAUGCCACUCAGUGCUGUUUGUUACUGUGAGAAGGGCUGAACAAAAGCCCCGCUGUGUUGGUUCUGUUUGGGUCCCUCUGCAGGACAUGGUCCAGUGUUGGCACCAGCCUACAGAUGGAUGGGGACAACACAGCAUGGCUCACAUGCGCAGCUCCCUGCACAUACCCUCAGGCAGUCGCUGCCACCAGGUUACGUGCACCAGGUUCCUCAUGGGACACCUUCAGCGCAGCACGCGAGGUGUGAGCUCAGACACCGCUGGUGUUAACCCCGCACACCAACCAUGCUGACCGUCUGCUUACAGAGCUGACAGGGGAGCAAACUUCUGCAGGGGCUCCAGGUGACACUUCACAUUCUGAACAUUUUUCCUUUUGCAAAGAGAAAUCACCUUCUGAAAUUACAAGCAAAUAAAGCGGACUUCCCAGAAAGGGGCAAUUUCUGUGAUCUUUAAUUGCUUUAUUCCUCAUAAGGGAAGAGAAUGAUCAGUGGUUGAGGGAAAAAAAGCCAUGCCAGAAAUGGAUUUCUGCAUUUCUCCCUUUUACUCAUCGAUGGGAGAAGAGCAAUGGGGCAGACAUGGCACUAAUUCUUGUUGUAAACUACUCUGGGAACGUAUUUUGCUCAGAGCCAUUAGCAGAGAAACACAUUAACAGGAAGAGCCAACAGUACGGCACAGUCCAAAUGUACAUAAAGGUCUCAGUCCUUUAUAGCAGCACAUAUUCUCCACAUUUCUCACCUCUCCUUAUGAGAGGCUGAAUGAGUUCAUGCCUCUCCAGGCCUUUGGAACCUCUCAGGAGGGUCCCCAGGGAUGGCUCCUGGGCUGAGCCCUCCAUGCAGCACCCACUCUGCAGACACCAACUGUGCCCAUCUCCGGCCAUGCAGGUAAAUUUUGCUCUUAAUUAAACAAACGCCACAACGACAUCUGGGAAUUGGCAGCUGCAGUCUGACCAAAUAAGCAUUAUACCUCUGUUAAUUAAAAGAAAAACCCUUACAAUUUCCCUAAUGAAAUUUCCACUCGGAUAAGAUGGAACAGUAUAAAUUUGUAAAGCAAGAAAUAACCCAGGAAGAUCAGCAAAUCUGCCAAUGUAUCUUUCUUGUGGAAAAAAUACUUAAGCUAACAAGGAAAGAUGAAGCUGUAGACGUUGCAAAAGAAAAUCAACAUUGACUGAUUUUCAGCUUGGCUCUGCAGCUGCUCCUACAUAGCAACUGGGAAAAUGCAUCCAGGCUUCCCUUACUCAUUUGUCCCUAUGCUGUCCCUCCCAAAGUGACCCUCACAGCGCCUUCCACACCAGGCAGGGAGCACUGAGGGUACUGCACCCACCCUACAGCCGCACUGCCCACAGCACUGCAGCACACACCCCACAGCAGCACUGCCCCUCUGUGCACCAACAGGGCCAUCCUGCACUGUCUUUCCUGUGAUGCAGUGAUGCAAUCCAUCCCUUUUUUCUUUUCUCUAUCUGCUUUUCUUUCAGCUCUUUGCUGUCUCACAAUGACCUACUUUUGCCCACAGAGGAGCUGUACUCGCCUCUGAUACUGGUUUCCUCCUUCCCUCUCAUCUGAGCUAACUGAUCCCAGGACUGCAGGUUCUCUCAGGGUUCAGUUUUUGCACUAUUUACCUGUACUACAACCAGUACAAUGAGCCCAUGGGACCUGAUAGGGCUCUCCAGGUCCUACUGAGCAAAAACCAGCCAACACUGAGCAAUGGAACAGGGCAGUUACUAGUAGCAGCACUUCCAACUGCAGCACUCACAGCCCUAGGCCUCCCCAUUACUCCAAGCAGCCACCACUGCCACAUUUAUUGCACACAUUUGGUGUAUUUCUGCAUUGUUCUCAGUGGGCUGUACAGAACCAAAGUGAUGUAUUAUUUAUGAGAAAUAAAU